UCUCUCUCUCUCUCUCUCUCUAAAAUAUCCAAAGUCUGCUUAAGUACCUCUCCAUCGCCAUUGGUCUCUCUCUUGUUUCCAGUAAUUUCUGACCUUUGCAGGACUUUGGAUUUCCAGAGACUUAUAAAUAAGGUCUUACGUUCCUCAUACCUAUUACAGAAUUCUUAGCUCUCUCUCUCUCUCUCUCUCUCAGGUUUGAUGAAAGAACACCUUAGUUCCAUAGUACACAAUUUUUUUUUUCCUGUUUUAUUUUUUACUGCAGGUAUUUAGCAACUUCCACUCUUAUUCCUUUUUCUAGUUGCAGAAUUUUGCCUUGGAAAGUGUUUAUGAUCCAUAUUUAUUGAUGUUAUUACUAGUUUUGGAAAGUGCAAAUCUGUCUCUGAUCCUAAGCUUGGAGGAGCUCAGAUAUCCCAUGGAGGAGAUUUUCAUGGGGGAGCUGUAUCCUACAAGCAUGCUUUGAUUGGCCUGGACUUCAUCAAAAACACGAUCAGAAUAUCAAGAAUAGAUAGCCACACAUGCAUGCAUAUAUAUAUAUAUAUAUAUAUAUUACUUUGUUGUCAUCAUCAUGCAUGAAUUGAUUUGCAGGGAGGAUGAAAGAAGAUGAAUGAAGAAGGAAGGAAGGAAGGUGGAGAGACGAUGGAGAAUGGAAUAUAAAAUGUUGACAGAAGAGAGAGAGCACAACCCACAUGGGCCAAAGAGAAGUCUUGGCUAUUGCUGGGAGUGUGCUCUCUCUUCCUCUGUCAUCGUCCUCUCUCUCUCUCUCUCUCUUGAUUAGUUUUUCCAAAUUCUUAAUUGGUUAUUAUUCUUCCCUUUUGGUUGUUGUUUUGGUCUGGAAAGGCCGGUAACUGCUAUUUUCACCAGAUGAGGAUAAAUAACGCCCACCAAUCUGGCAAGGAUACGUGGCCUGAUGCGUAGUGAGUGACCAAUAGAGAGGGAGCCGAUCCUCUCAAGAUUGACCUAUGACCUCUGGGAAUUGCUUACAUUUGCAGAUUAGACUUCAAUAGAGGCCGAGCUGAACCUCCUAAGAGCGAGAUGUCACCUCAGGGAAUUGCCUGCAUCUGCAAAUCAGACUUCAAUAGAGGCCUGUGACCUCGGGGAGUUACUUACAUCUGCAAAUCAAACUUCAGUAGAGGCCGAGCCAACCCCCUCUAGGAUUGACCUGUGACCUUGGGGAAUUGCUUACGUCUGCAAAUCAGACUCCAAUAGAGGCCGAGCCACCCUCUCUAGGAUUGACCUAUGACCUCGAAGAAUUGCCUGCAUCUACAUAUCAGACUUCAAUAGAGGCUGAGCCAAUCCUCUCUAGGACCGACCUAUCGGCUCAGUGUUGACAUCAUCUUGCGGACCCGAACUCAACUCGCUUGCCACAACUCCAGAUUACCUGCAGCCCAACAAAGUUUAUCACCUGGAGUACACGAAAGCAAUCUCCUAAGAGAUCCACUGAAUUCUAGCCGAACAACGGAAUACUUGUGGACUUCUCAGAGAGAUAUCUCCUAUCAAAAAUGAACUACCUGGCAAAAUGGGAUUCUCCACCAUUGCCUAACUCGACCGACUGCCUAUAAAUACUAAGGUAAGCCCCAAACAAAGGAAGGGUUUAAUUAUUUUCACUCCAUACUUUACACUAUUUAUUGCUUGAAAAUCUAACUUAAGCAUCGGAGAGUCCCUGAAUGUUCUUCUAUGCAGAUUGCCUGAGAGACGACUUGGAUUUGGAAUGGAAUAAUUUCUUGCGCCACAACACCCAUGUCUCAAUAGUUAUUGUCUUUGUACUACUAGUGUAUGAUGCCCCUUGUUUUCCAUUGUUAAUUUGUAGCUGCGUCCAGCCUAAAACCUCGAGCUUCAAGAUAGAGAAACCUUUCGCAGAAUUAUACAUCCAAUACCAUACCAAUGUAAGACUAAGACCUCCAUUCUUGGUUACGGAGCCAACAGAAGUAGAAUCAACAAAAGGCAAUUUCGGUCCCAUGCCAUCUAGAGAUCAUGCAGGGAUUCAACAAAAGGCAAUUUCCAUCCCACGUCAUCUAGAUCGGUUUGUCAAGGGGAGGCAAAUAGGCAAUAGCAGUUCAUGGUGCUCUGUCUAUGGUGUUAUCUGCAGGAUACACUAGGCUCGAGGUGGAGAGUGAUGGUAAGGAGACUGUGGAUUACAUUUUGUACAACAGUCUUUUCCCUCAUAUUAGUGUGGCACCAAUUAUCUCUGAUAUACAGACGCUCUCUCUCUCUCUAUCUUCCGUUUUUGUUUCUUUUCCAUAUAUUCCAAGAGCUAACAAUAUUGUUAUCAAUGCCCUGGCUAGAAAGAUCCUGUCAGUCAUGUGUACUAUAGAUUGGUCAGAAUCCAUUUCAUAAAUCUUACAACUUUUUUUGAAGGAUGUUAUUGACCAUAUACAUGUUCCUAAUCAGUAAAUUCCUUUCUUACAAAAAAAAAAAGUAGGAGAAUCAGAAUCCACCAACCGCAUGCUCUAUCAUCUCGUGGUGGCGUUAUGAGCUAAAUUGAGAAUCAGAUCGUUGAAUCGGCCAAUCUAGACGAAAGUCAGAAACGUUGAGGUCGACGGGGCCACUGUGGAGCUAACGUAAAGGUUCAACUGCAACGUCAACACCAAUAAGAGAAGUGAAGUCCAGGUCGAUUGUGAUGGCGAUCAAUGUUGAUCAUAAACGGAUGAGGACAUGACAAUGAGACAAAGGUUAAGGAAUUCAACAUUCAUCCAGAAGAACCAAGACCAUGACCAAUAUCGAAGCAAGAUUCACUCUGAAACCCUAGCUCAAAAAACCCCUCUGAUGCGGUAAAAAUUGACUGGACGAUCUUCCCUGUAAUUCCUAGUGCUUUGGCCGACCUGCACAGAAGAGAUGACAAGGGAGAGCCGGGUUGACCCGAUGGGAGACUCUCCGAUGCCUAAGUCAGAUCUUUCCACAGCAGAUGCUCAAGGGAGCUUUUCCAGUAAAUGAAAGAAGUGAGUAAUCCAUCCCCUAUGAUGGAUGCUUACCUUGGUAUUUAUAGCUUGCUGAUGGAGGGAGAGUGGGAGACGAUUGUGAAGAGUCUUGUUUAGGAGUGGAGUCCUUGAAGGGAGUGGCUCUGUGAUUCUGGGAAUUUUCCGGGUCUUAGGGUAUUCCAGGGGAAUAUUCCUCUCUUAUCUCAGAAAGGCCAACCAUGUAAGGGAUAGACGUCUAUGGUGACGUGUAGUAGAUAGAAUCCUGUUCUUCUGAAUAUGGAUUACCUUCCUUGAAUAUAGGGGUGGAUGAAAGCACGUCUUUGGAAACCUUGUUGUUGACGGAGGGCCAAGGUGGCAGCACGGCAAUGGAGGGCCGAGGUGGCAGCACGACCUAAUGGAGGGCCAAGAUAGUAGCACGGCCUGAUGGCGGACCAAGGUGAUAGCACAGCUUGAUGGAGGGCCGAGGUGGUAGCACGGCCUGAUGGAGGGCCGAAGUGGUAGCAAGGCCUGAUGGCAGCCCGAGGUACAGCAUUGGUCAGGACCGGUCCUUGUCCGUGUUGUGGUUGGAAAGAAAUACUCUCAUCACUCCCAAAUUAUAAUGACUUACUCAACAAGAUGAUAGUACAUUAUAUAUA